rnacentral:rRNA from 1 species
UACGAAGGGUGCAAGCGUUAAUCGGAAUUACUGGGCGUAAAGGGUGCGUAGGCGGUUCGUUAAGUCUGUCGUGAAAUCCCCGGGCUCAACCUGGGAAUGGCGAUGGAUACUGGCGAGCUAGAGUGUGUCAGAGGAUGGUGGAAUUCCCGGUGUAGUGGUGGAAUGCGUAGAUAUCGGGAGGAACACCAGUGGCGAAGGCGGUUGCCUGGGGCUUUGCUGACGCUGAUGCGCGAAAGCGUGGGGAGCGAUCCGG